AAUCCUGUGUGUUGUUCUGUGGCGAGGGGUUGGGACGGUUCCGUGAAGACCAAUAAAAAGACGGCGUGGUCAGCUGCUGGGGAGCGGAGCCGACCAGGCAAACGCGAAAGACGGAGCCCAGGACGACCCUGAGGAUUUAAGUGUUCUCUCGCCGAGGCCCCACAUAAUUUCUUAUCCUUCACCGCCACGAAAAUUAUAGAGGACAGAAUCCGGGACAACUGUCGGCAGGUUCCGGUUGUUCUAUGUAAAGCUCGAGCGCAUCUGAAGGCCAAAUAAUUAAAGCUGGAUUUACCGUGAGUUUGUUUUGCUGCUUUCAUUGAAGAGAACUUUCUGUUGGCUACCUCUGCUUCUUUUCCGGUGUGGGGAGAACAGACUCCUACUUUUAAUUUUUAACGGACUACUAUUUCAGCAGCAGUGGUGACGCUUGAGAACACCUCUUAGAAAUUACCACAAAGCAGUGAGGCUGGGGGAGGGGCACAUGUGAAGAUGCGAGAGUGUCUCACGCGGUAGCUACAUGGCAACACCUGAUGCUAUUUCUCUACUUUGUGUGUGUUUGGAAUCAUUGUUGGUGAAAUGUUUAUAAACAUUAAGUGCCAAGUCAACUGCGAGUGGUGGCAACCACGUAAUCCGCAGUUCUUGGGAGGUGGAGAAAGGAAGGUAAGUUCCAGACCAGCCUGGGCUACAAGACAGACUCUUUUGAAAAUUAACACUUUAAAAAUUUGACUAUAGUAGAGGAUCGUGAAGAAUCAUUGACUCGCCAAUGAGUGGACAUGCAAAAUCGCGGUUCAACGCAUUAUUUUAACACUCCUCAUGAUCCGACCUGAAUUUCGUGAAGAGAAACUUCUUCUGGGAACUCGAAGAAUACUUUAUUGUUUGGUUUUUGGAACAGCACUUGGGAGUUGUUGAUUAUGUUUGCUUCACCAACGUUUAUAAUUGUAUAUAUUCACAUGACAUUGAUUGUCACAGGGUUCUUCAAUUUUCUUAAAAAUCUGGGGAACAUGGUGGUGGUGAAGUUGUUCCAAAAGAGCACUCCUUCGAGCCGGAUUCGAACCAGCGACCUAAGGAUUACUAAGUCAACCUACAGUCCUCCGCUCUACCAACUGAGCUAUCGAAGGAAGAUAACAACAGUCCCUUUAAGGUUUAUAAAGUAGUUGGUGGAUUUCUUGUAAUUCCUCUGAUUCAUUUUAAAAUAGAUGAUAAGGAAAUGUUUUUGAGGUACUAGGAUAUUUUAAGAGUAAAUUAGCUAGUGAUCACACAACAGGUUUGAGGUGUGUGCUUUUUAAUGUGUGUUUCACAUAGAUUUCCCCCAAAAAUGCUCCUUGAAAUGUUCAUGCCCUGAAUCCUUACAGACCAGAGCAUCCAUCCCCUUUGAUGGACGCUCCUCGUUGAACCCUCCAGUCUCCUUAGCACCUCCUUUCUUUAUUAAAAGUGAGAGAAAAGGUCAAUGAUAGCAGAGACGUCUGGAGCACUGGUGCCCAUUUCACCAGAGAAGCGCGUGAUUCUCCUUCUGGACAAGUGCAUGAGAUGCCUUUAACGUGGAUCUAAAAAAGGAGUAAAACAUACUAUCUUGCACAACUGUAGUGGAGCAGAUAAAUGAAACAUUAUACAUACACCUCAAAAAGUAAUUUUAACCAUUCCAUUUUAAGUAUGCUGUCAUGCCUGGCUAACAAGCACCUAUGGUGCCAUUCAGAAUCCUCAUCCUAAGAAAAAUGAGUACCAUUGGGAAAAACGAGAAGCCAUACAGGGAUAUUUUUAUGGAAUAUAUGAAUUAUGAUAGGGUUGGAUGUUAUAAAUCAUGACAUGUAUGAAAAAUGUUGUUUAUCUCUAAAAGACCAUCUCAUUAAAAUUAUGGAUUUAGACUGAAUGUAAAUGUUAUAAAUCAUGACAUGUAUGAAAAAUGUUUAUCUCUAAAAGACCAUCUCAUUAAAAUUAUGGAUUUAGACCGAAUGUAAUUUAUAGGAUAAACUCAUGUCUCCUACAAAUCUGAACUUCUAAAGUUCUUAAGGUCAUUAGUACACAUUGGUGUUUUUAUACCACCUUUUGAUGAGGGAAUCUAAAGCGCACCAAAAGGCUUCUCCUUCGAGCCGGAUUCGAACCAGCGACCUAAGGAUAUCCAGGAAGUACAACUACAGUCCUCCGCUCUACCAACUGAGCUAUCGAAGGGAGCUGUCAAGGUAGUGAUAAUUUAUGACAUAAGGGAUUGUUUUGUUCUACUUUCUGAUUAAUUGUGGAAAGCAAACAACCACCAGAAGAGUCUUUUAAGGUACUAGAAUAUUGUUUUCACUGGAUUGUCUUACUGUAGUGUCCUGUAUCUUUAGGACAUCCUCCCUCUGUUAAAAGUGGGAGAAAAGAACAUUAUCAUAGACAACACCAUCCUGAAGCAGAGCUAUUGCCCAGUUCAGAGAAAUGCAUGAUUCUCUUUUCUGAAGAAUAAGGGAAGAAAGGUGAAUGCAGCUGUAUCAGACACAAAAUUUGAUAGGCUUUUGAUGUGUUUCAGUUUGGUGUCUGUCACUGUGUUAAAAUACUAUGACUAAAAGCAACUUCGGGAGGAAAGGGUUUAUUUAAGUUAUGCAUCUUGAUUACAUAAGGGAAACCUGGGCAGAAACUCAAGCAAGCAAGCACUUGGAAGCAGAAAGUGAAGCGGAUUAUCAUAGAAGAAUGCUUCUUCCUGGCUUGCACACCAUUGCUUUCCCAUACAACCCAGGUGUCCAGCAGUGGCACUGAGCCAUCCACAUCGAUCAUUAAUCAUGAAAAUUCCCCGAGACUUGCCUACAGGCCAAUCUGAUAGAGGCAUUUUCAAAACUGAGACUCCCUCUUCCAGAUGACUAACGUGUCAAGUUGACAAAAACUAACCAGUACUGCAUGUGGUUAGGAAUGGAGCAGCCCAUGUUAUAUUGAACAAUUAUACUGGAACAAAUAAACAAAACAUUACAAACCUCAGAGAUAAUAAAUUUAAUCAUUUCAUGUUUAUGUUUGGCUAGCGACCACCUAUGGUGCCACUGGCUUCCUGGUGCCUAAUACAGAAAAACGAGUACCAUGGGAAAGCAUAGGAUGCCAUCCAGGGAAACUUUUAUUUAUUUGUUGAAAUUCAUACAUUUUAAAGUUUAUUAGUUAUAAUAGGUGAAGAGAAAAAGUAACAUCUGUGGAAAUCAUUCCAGUAUUUCAACUGUGGAAGAUCAUAACAUUACAAUUAAAGUGUUUUCCCAGUGAAGUCUUGGACUUCAAUUCCUGUUCUAGCGCCAGAGGUGUGUGAAAACGAACCUACUGGGGCUGGUGGAAGAGAAUAUUUGUUCCAGAAGGAAUUUCCUAAAGGAUAGAUUAUCCCAGUUUCUGAAGAACCCGUCAAGACUUUUCUCAUCCGGCUCCUCUGCUCGUCCACUGAAGUUGCCACAUCUUCACAGGUAGAGUGGGCUGAACUGUUUGGUGGCUGAGUGGGCAGCUUCUGGAGGUCUGCGGGUAUGUACAACAUCGAUGUUCCAGAGAGUUUUCGGCUAGGAGUGGAGACUGCAGAGAUCAGGUGGGGAGCUGAGGGAAGGCUGUACGGAGCUGGAGCAGCCUAGGUGCACCAGAAAGCCUCUGAGAAAGAAAAGCCAAAACGCAGACACCAAGAGCAAAAACAAAAACUGCGGAUAUUUACGAGCUCUGCCCAGGUUCUCCUGCUCCAACCUCUCGAGAGCAGUUGCUGGGAUUCCAGCGUGGGUCUCUUCUGCACCCUUCGCCUGUAAUUUUGAGAGACUCCUUCAAUCGUCUUCGCUCGCAGUGGGGAGGAGGAGAGGAACACAAACCUGGUCCCUCUUUUAUUCCCUCACUCGGACCUUUACUGAGAGGACUGCACAUCUUAGGUGUUCGUAGAACUGUCAGAGGUGGGCGGAGUGUGUUGGGGACACACUGUGCAAAAGGGGCUGAACUGAUGAUAGCUUUAUCUGGGAAAUGGUACCCGACGUUUUGCUUUUGGGUAUGCUUGGCAUGGCCUCAUAAAAUUCUUUUUGUGUCAACACUGAUGAUGCCGACCACAGGGAACCCCACAGUGUAUUGCGUAUGUCCUAAUUCCUGGCAAAAAGUCUUUCAAUAGGCUAAGAAGGAAAGUCACGGUAGACAAUUCUCCCUUACACUCCCACCAAAAUGCUCAUCCUUCGAGCCGGAUUCGAACCAGCGACCUAAGGAUACCUCCAAGGCGAAAGAUUCCACUACAGUCCUCCGCUCUACCAACUGAGCUAUCGAAGGUGAUAGUACCCCUGGAAACUGAGAAUUUGGAAAGUUAACACCCAAUCCAGUGUUACUGGAAGCCCAAACUUUGUUCCUGCUGAAGACCUCAUACCGUGUGCAGUCGCGCCAGCAGGUGGAUCUGCAUCUUCGGAAUGGGCUAGCCUUCUGACCCUGUUCCAUGCCUACAUUUCUCAUCAUCAUAAAUAUUGCCAGACUGGGCAGACUGCCCAGUAAGGAGAAAGAAUCUCAAGAGUGGAUAGUACCAGGUCAAGUCUAUGAGAGGAAAAUAGGAAUACAUCUGAGAUUUAAAAUCUCUUAUGUGGUGGGAACUUCUUUCAACAGAAAGUCAUUCUAUUUUUGUCAACCCUGACUGUAAUGAAUAAGCAAAAGUUAAGGUUGGUGUAAAGGGCCUGGAAAGGCCUGUGUGGAGGGUCUAAGAGUCUGGAAAGGCCUAUGUGGAGGGUCUAAGAGUCUGGAAAGGCCUGUGUGGAGGGUCUAAGAGCCUGGAAAGGCCUGUGUGGAGGGUCUAAGAGCCUGGAAAGGCCUGUGUGGAGGGUCUAAGAGUCUAGAAAGGCCUAUGUGGAGGGUC